GACAGAGGCCUCAAGCGUUAGGCGGAAUCACUGGGCUUAAAGCGUGUGUAGGCGGAUCGUUAAGUGUCUUGUGAAAUCCCACGGCUCACCCGUGGAACUGCUGGGCAUACUGGCGAUCUUGGGCCAACUAGGGGCAACUGGAACAAGCGGUGGAGCGGUGAAAUGCGUAGAUAUCGCUUGGAACGCCAAAGGGUGAAAACAGGGUUGCUGGGGUUGUGCCGACG
rnacentral:rRNA from 1 species